rnacentral:sRNA from 1 species
AAAAAAGAAGAGAAAAAUAAAA